rnacentral:rRNA from 1 species
UACGUAGGGUGCAAGCGUUGUCCGGAAUUAUUGGGCGUAAAGAGCUCGUAGGCGGUUUGUCGCGUCUGCUGUGAAAAUCCAGGGCUUAACCCUGGACCUGCAGUGGGUACGGGCAGACUGGAGUGCGGUAGGGGAGAUCGGAAUUCCUGGUGUAGCGGUGGAAUGCGCAGAUAUCAGGAGGAACACCGGUGGCGAAGGCGGGUCUCUGGGCCGUAACUGACGCUGAGGAGCGAAAGCGUGGGGAGCGAACAGG